rnacentral:tRNA from 1 species
AAGAGUUUAGGCUAAUCCGACAAGACCAAGGGCCUUCAAAGCCCUAAGUGGAGGUUAGAGUCCUCCAACUCUUA